rnacentral:tRNA from 1 species
GUCCCCGUAGCUCAGUCGGAUAGAGCAACGGAUUCCUAAUCCGUAGGCCGUGCGUUCAAAUCGCGCCGGGGACGCCA